rnacentral:rRNA from 1 species
GACCACGAUCCAACCCUAAAUACUAAUACCAGAUCGAUAGUGCACAAGUACCGUGAGGGAAAGGUGAAAAGAACUGAGGUGAUCAGAGUGAAAUAGAACCUGAAACCAUUUGCUUACAAUCAUUCAGAGCCCUAUGUAGCAAUACAGGGUGAUGGACUGCCUUUUGCAUAAUGAGCCUGCGAGUUGUGGUGUCUGGCAAGGUUAAGCAAACGCGAAGCCGUAGCGAAAGCGAGUCUGAAUAGGGCGCUUAGUCAGAUGCUGCAGACCCGAAACGAAGUGAUCUAUCCAUGAGCAAGUUGAAGCUAGUGUAAGAACUAGUGGAGGACUGAACCCAUAGGCGUUGAAAAGCCCCGGGAUGACUUGUGGAUAGGGGUGAAAGGCCAAUCAAACUUCGUGAUAGCUGGUUCUCUCCGAAAUAUAUUUAGGUAUAGCGUUGUGUCGUAAUAUAAGGGGGUAGAGCACUGAAUGGGCUAGGGCAUACACCAAUGUACCAAACCCUAUCAAACUCCGAAUACCUUAUAUGUAAUCACAGCAGUCAGGCGGCGAGUGAUAAAAUCCGUCGUCAAGAGGGAAACAACCCAG